rnacentral:rRNA from 1 species
UACAGAGGUCUCAAGCGUUGUUCGGAUUCAUUGGGCGUAAAGGGUGCGUAGGUGGUGACGCAAGUCUGGUGUGAAAUCUCGGAGCUCAACUCCGAAAUUGCACCGGAUACUGCGUGACUCGAGGACUGUAGAGGAGAUCGGAAUUCACGGUGUAGCAGUGAAAUGCGUAGAUAUCGUGAGGAAGACCAGUUGCGAAGGCGGAUCUCUGGGCAGUUCCUGACACUGAGGCACGAAGGCCAGGGGAGCAAAC